rnacentral:rRNA from 1 species
AUUGAACGCUGGCGGCAUGCCUUACACAUGCAAGUCGAACGGCAGCACGGGUGCUUGCACCUGGUGGCGAGUGGCGAACGGGUGAGUAAUACAUCGGAACAUGUCCUGUAGUGGGGGAUAGCCCGGCGAAAGCCGGAUUAAUACCGCAUACGAUCUACGGAUGAAAGCGGGGGACCUUCGGGCCUCGCGCUAUAGGGUUGGCCGAUGGCUGAUUAGCUAGUUGGUGGGGUAAAGGCCUACCAAGGCGACGAUCAGUAGCUGGUCUGAGAGGACGACCAGCCACACUGGGACUGAGACACGGCCCAGACUCCUACGGGAGGCAGCAGUGGGGAAUUUUGGACAAUGGGCGAAAGCCUUAUCCAGCAAUGCCGCGUGUGUGAAGAAGGCCUUCGGGUUGUAAAGCACUUUUGUCCGGAAAGAAAUCCUUGGCCCUAAUACGGUCGGGGGAUGACGGUACCGGAAGAAUAAGCACCAGCUAACUACGUG